UGCAUGGUUGUCGUCAGCUCGUGUCGUGAGAUGUUGGUUAAGUCCCGCAACGAGCGCAACCCCUAUUGUUAGUUGCCAUCAUUCAGUUGGGCACUCUAGCGAGACUGCCGGUAAUAAACCGGAGGAAGGUGGGGAUGACGUCAAAUCAUCAUGCCCCGUAUGACCUGGGCUACACACGUGCUACAAUGGUUGGUACAACGAGUUGCGAGUCGGUGACGGCGAGCUAAUCUCUUAAAGCCAAUCUCAGUUCGGAUUGUAGGCUGCAACUCGCCUACAUGAAGUCGGAAUCGCUAGUAAUCGCGGAUCAGCACGCCGCGGUGAAUACGUUCCCGGGCCUU
rnacentral:rRNA from 1 species